AUCCCAUGAUGAGGACACUUAAGAAGUAACUCCUUGAAUCGCUCCCAAGCCUCAUAUAAAGACUCGUCUUCCAAUUGUUGGAACUUGGUGGCAAUGAAUUGAGCCA
rfam:Gossypium arboreum cultivar AKA8401 contig_59550_1, whole genome shotgun sequence.